CGAGAAAGCCCGCAAGGGUGAGUACAGCGGCGCACGGGUGCGUAACACGUGGGUAAUCUGCCCUGGAGCCCGGAAUAACUCCCCGAAAGGGGUGCUAAUGCCGGAUGAGACCACGGGAGCUUCGGCUCUCGCGGGAAAAGGUGGCCUCUGUAUACAAGCUAUCACUUCAGGAUGAGCCCGCGGCCCAUCAGCUAGUUGGCGGGGUAAAGGCCCACCAAGGCUACGACGGGUAGCUGGUCUGAGAGGACGAUCAGCCACACUGGAACUGAGACACGGUCCAGACUCCUACGGGAGGCAGCAGUGGGGAAUCUUGCGCAAUGGGCGAAAGCCUGACGCAGCAACGCCGCGUGUGUGAUGAAGGUCUUCGGAUCGUAAAGCACUGUCGCGAGGGACG
rnacentral:rRNA from 1 species